GCAAGUCGAACGUGAAAGCUCUUCGGAGUGAGUAGAGUGGCGGACGGGUGAGUAACGCGUAGGAAUCUACCUAGUAGUGGGGGACAACAUGGUGAAAACCAUGCUAAUACCGCAUACGCCCUACGGGGGAAAGCGGGGGAUCUUCGGACCUCGUGCUAUUAGAUGAGCCUGCGUAAGAUUAGCUAGUUGGUGGGGUAAAGGCCCACCAAGGCGACGAUCUUUAGCUGGUCUGAGAGGAUGAUC
rnacentral:rRNA from 1 species